CCGACCUUAGCUCAGUUGGUAGAGCGGAGGACUGUAGUUGGAAAUGCAACAGAUAUCCUUAGGUCACUGGUUCGAAUCCGGUAGGUCGGA
rfam:Lupinus angustifolius cultivar Tanjil chromosome LG07, whole genome shotgun sequence.